rnacentral:rRNA from 1 species
AGUGAACGCUGGCGGUAGGCCUAACACAUGCAAGUCGAACGGCAGCACAGUAAGAGCUUGCUCUUACGGGUGGCGAGUGGCGGACGGGUGAGGAAUACAUCGGAAUCUACUCUUUCGUGGGGGAUAACGUAGGGAAACUUACGCUAAUACCGCAUACGACCUACGGGUGAAAGCAGGGGAUCUUCGGACCUUGCGCGAUUGAAUGAGCCGAUGUCGGAUUCGCUAGUUGGCGGGGUAAAGGCCCACCAAGGCGACGAUCCGUAGAUGGUCUGAGAGGAGGAUCAGCCACACUGGAACUGGGACACGGUCCAGACUCCUGCGAGAGGCAGCAGUGGGGAAUAUUGGAGAAUGGGCGCAAGCCUGAACCAGCCAUACCGCGUGGGUGAAGAAGGCCUUCGGGUUGUAAAGCCCUUUUGUUGGGAAAGAAAAGCAGCAGGUUAAUACCCCGCUGUUAUGACGGUACCCAAAGAAUAAGCACCGGCUAACUUCGUG